rnacentral:rRNA from 1 species
UACGUAGGGAGCAAGCGUUGUCCGGAAUCAUUGGGCGUAAAGCGCGCGUAGGUGGCCCCAUAAGUCCGCUGUGAAAGUCAAAGGCUCAACCUUUGAAAGCCGGUGGAUACUGUGGGACUAGAGUACGGAAGAGGCGAGUGGAAUUCCUGGUGUAGCGGUGGAAUGCGCAGAUAUCGGGAGGAACACCAAUAGCGAAGGCAGCUCGCUGGGACGUUACUGACACUGAGGCGCGAAAGCGUGGGGAGCGAACAGG